ACGGCAGUUGAAAACUAACUGCGGCUAAAUUCAAACUCAAAUAAUCUUUAUCAAUCCCAAAGGAGAAUCAAAUAAAUGAAAUACUUGAUCAACAGACGUUACAGAACAAGAAUGAAACGUCUCCAUAUCUUCACUGUUACGCCGUGACAACAAUGGAUUGAAGACAUAGCAGACACAAUAGUCAAAUUUAAAGAGUGUAAUCUCAACAGUAUGUUAACAGCUGGAGGCAGGAAGCUGUGCAGCAGUCCAGUGGGUCUGCCUCUACUGUUUUCCUGAUGGCAGCCAUUCAAAAUGUUCCUGGAGAGGAAGUGAAGAGUCUCUGACAAGGUUUAGCUCUGUUCCUGCGGCUCAUCCUGGAAAGAAAGAGGGAUCCACAGUGAAAACAUGCGGAGCUGUGUCAAGGAGAAAACUCUGCCUGGGAGGUCGUGGGGGCUGCAGGGAGCUCCUCAGUGUCCUAAUGCCAAGUUCAGGGCAGUUAGGAGAAAGCCAGCUAGGAGACCUUUGGCACCCAUAUUUUGUUUGCUAAUUGCACAGUUAAUUACAGUGUGAAUAAUGCAACAAUCUCAAUGUGCAGCUGCCUGGACACGAUAAGAUAUUCAGAUGUUAUCUGUACGAUUAAGCAGCUGAUAUACGGCUAAUAAAAUACUAAUAACUUAAA